CCUACGGGAGGCAGCAGUGAGGAAUAUUGGUCAAUGGACGAGAGUCUGCACCAGCCAAGUAGCGUGACGGUUGACUGCCCUCUGGGUUGUAAACUUCUUUUAUAAAGGAAUAAAACCAGGCACGUGACCAUUUUUUCAUGUACUUUAUGAAUAAGGAUCGGCUAACUCCUUGCCAGCAGCCGCGGUAAUACGGAGGAUCCGAGCGUUAUCCGGAUUUAUUGGGUUUAAAGGGAGCGUAGAUGGGUUGUUAAGUCAGUUGUGAAAGUUUGCGGCUCAACCGUAAAAGUGCAAUUGUUACUGGCAGUCUUGAGUACAGAUGAGGUAGGCGGAAUUCGUGGUGUAGCGGUGAAAUGCUUAGAUAUCACGAAGAACCCCGAUAGCGAAGGCAGCUUACUAAACUGUGACUGACAUUGAUGCUCGAAAGUGUGGGUAUCAAACAGGAUUAGAUACCCCAGUAGUC
rnacentral:rRNA from 1 species